rnacentral:lncRNA from 1 species
UCCCCUCACCCCCUCACCCCCCUUCUUUCUUCUCCUGCUUGGAAUAUAGAUCACAUUCUGUACCGAUGGUACCCAUCCUGUAGCCACAAGAACAAAAGGCACACUGUAAGGACAACGGAGUGAGAACUGGAAACCGAAGGACCCACAUUGAAGAGCUGCUGAUGGCUUCAGGUAACAUUUGCACGCUGUCAUCAGCUAGGAGAGUUAAAGCGCAGUUUAGCGAAGUCUCUGUGGCUGGCGUUUUGCUACAUGUGAAAUGAUCUUUACUGUUACACUGGGGCAGAACUAAAGCCUACUAAACCUAAGGAGAGAAAAAGCAGCAGAGGAGGAGAGAAAUUGGAUGAGUCCCACGGGCCCCUGCAGGAGGAAACAUUUCUGUAUGUAAAACACAUGGAAGAAGUUGUCUCUCACGUCCUUCUCACUGAAGGUCUGCUCAUAGGCAUGAAGCCAGGCAGUCUGAGCCUGCCCCGCAUCCACAGGGCCGAUUUCAAGAUAUUCAGCCCCGUUAGUAAUACUCCCUCUCGCUGCUUUUAUCUGGAAGCUAACACUGCAACAGAGACAAAGGCAAAACCAGACAAGCUGCAGGGAAUUGUUUUUUAC